UACGGAGGAUGCGAGCGUUAUCCGGAUUUAUUGGGUUUAAAGGGUGCGCAGGCGGCACGGCAAGCCGGCGGUCAAAUCGCGGGGCUCAACCCCGCCCAGCCGUCGGAACUGCCGGGCUAGAGUGGGCGAGAAGUGCGCGGAAUGCGUGGUGUAUCGGUGAAAUGCAUAGAUAUCACGCAGAACUCCGAUUGCGAAGGCAGCAUACCGGCGCCCGACUGACGCUGAAGCACGAAAGCGUGGGUAUCGAACAGG
rnacentral:rRNA from 1 species